GAGGGUGUGGCUCAGUGGUAGAGUGCUUGCCUAGCAUGUGUGAAGUCCUGGGUUCAAUCCCCAGUACCUCCA
rnacentral:tRNA from 1 species